rnacentral:rRNA from 1 species
UACGUAGGUCCCGAGCGUUGUCCGGAUUUAUUGGGCGUAAAGCGAGCGCAGGUGGUUUAUUAAGUCUGGUGUAAAAGGCAGUGGCUCAACCAUUGUAUGCAUUGGAAACUGGUAGACUUGAGUGCAGGAGAGGAGAGUGGAAUUCCAUGUGUAGUGGUGAAAUGCGUAGAUAUAUGGAGGAACACCGGUGGCGAAAGCGGCUCUCUGGCCUGUAACUGACACUGAGGCUCGAAAGCGUGAGGAGCAAACAGG